rnacentral:lncRNA from 1 species
GCGCCAGCCAUCCGCACGGGGCGCCCCCACCACGCGCCACUCCUCCUCACGCCUCGCUCCCACCCCCUGCAUCUUCCACUCACCCCACACGACACCUCUGCCCACUUUUCGGUUACGCCCCCAAAGCCAGCCUCCAUCUGCCAGGUCCCUCCCCUCACCUCCGGGACCCGACUCCCCGCACACUCCGUCCCAGCGGUGCUCCCCACGUUUCACGGCUCCUCGCUCUUGCUCCCUCCGCCCUCAUAGACUCUGAAGCUCCUUCCACGGCACCCGCUCCAGGCCCGGCUCACCUGCACGGCCACCCCCGUCCCGGCGCUGGUGCGGCUGCUGCAGCUGGAAGGGGAUCGUGGCCCUGAGCGGCUGCAGCCCAGCCCGCUGCUUAUCUGCUGUACGGGGCGGGGACCGGCCCCCUCAUCCUAGAGCUGUCAUUGGACUGCGGAAACCCAGACCUUCCACCCCAGCCAAUCCACAGCUUAGCCUUCCCUUUCCUGAGGAUGAUUGGUCGAUGAGCCUAGCGAUCCAAGCCAAGACCCCACCCUCACACCGCCCCCUUCGGUUUUCCAACAUCCCAGGGGCUGCUGAUUGGCCUGUACAGAAGAGGGCUGGUUCUCCAGCGCCACCAAUGAGAAGACGCAGAAUAGGGGAGCGUCACACCCAGUCCCAGGCCAGUUUAAUGUUAAAAAGAAGAUAUUCCCUGAAGCCAUACUAACUAAUCAGAGAAAAAGAGGUAAUCUGGGAGCCUGCUGUGAGGCAAAGAGAAGUCAUUCUGGGAUUAAAUAUUGAAAGUAGAUAAUACCCAAAGUGGAAAUUCAAGAGUGGGUUGAAUAUUAAAAUUAGCCUACAUACACUGAAUGAAUUGAGGCAAUGGAACAUACCGAAGAAAGGUUUUCUUUGCAAAGAGUG